rnacentral:rRNA from 1 species
GAUGAACGCUGGCGGCGUGCCUAAUACAUGCAAGUCGAGCGAAUCGGGAACGGGUGAGUAACACGUGGAUAACCUCCUAUAAGACUGGGAUCACUUCGGGAAACCGGAGCUAAACCGGAUACUUCUCUAUGUCUCCUCGUUGCAUUCGCUAGUUGGUAAGGUCACGGCUAACCAAGGCAACGAUGGAUAGCCGACCUGAGAGGGUGAUCGGACACACUGGAACUGAGACACGGUCCAGACUCCUACGGGAGGCAGCAGUAGGGAAUCUUCCGCAAUGGGCGAAAGCCUGACGGAGCAACGCCGCGUGAGUGAUGAAGGUCUUCGGAUCGUAAAACUCUGUUAUUAGGGAAGCGGUACCUAAUCAGAAAGCCACGGCUAACUACGUGCCAGCAGCCGCGGUAAUAC